rnacentral:tRNA from 2 species
GCCGGCAGGGCAGCGCGGAACUGCUGGCGAAUCUCAUGCAUUCGAUCAAGACGCGGUUCGAGCCGCUGCUGAUC